AAGAGGUCGGCACCUGACGUCGGUGUCCUGAUGAAGAUCCAUGACAGGAUCGAAACCUCUU
rnacentral:misc_RNA from 1 species